UACAGAGGGUGCGAGCGUUGUCCGGAAUCACUGGGCGUAAAGGGCGCGUAGGCGGCCUGGUUAGUAGGGGUGAAAUCUUGCGGCUCAACUGCAAGGCUGCCUCCUAAACUGCCGGGCUAGAGCACGGUAGAGGCAGAUGGAAUUCCCGGUGUAGCGGUGGAAUGCGUAGAGAUCGGGAAGAACAUCGGUGGCGAAGGCGGUCUGCUGGGCCGUUGCUGACGCUGAGGCGCGACAGCGUGGGGAGCAAACAGG
rnacentral:rRNA from 1 species